UAGGGAAUCUUCGGCAAUGGGGGGAACCCUGACCGAGCAACGCCGCGUGAGUGAAGAAGGUUUUCGGAUCGUAAAGCUCUGUUGUUAAGGAAGAACGAGUGUGAGAAUGGAAAGUUCAUACUGUGACGGUACUUAACCAGAAAGGGACGGCUAACUACGUGCCAGCAGCCGCGGUAAUACGUAGGUCCCGAGCGUUGUCCGGAUUUAUUGGGCGUAAAGCGAGCGCAGGCGGUCAAUUAAGUCUGAUGUGAAAGCCCCCGGCUCAACCGGGGAGGGUCAUUGGAAACUGGUUGACUUGAGUGCAGAAGAGGAGAGUGGAAUUCCAUGUGUAGCGGUGAAAUGCGUAGAUAUAUGGAGGAACACCAGUGGCGAAGUCGACUCUCUGGUCUGUAACUGACGCUGAGGCUCGAAAGCGUGGGUAGCAAACAGG
rnacentral:rRNA from 1 species